AGAGAGAGACAUGCGCGCAUAUCAAUAAGCGGAGGAAAAGAAACUAACAAGGAUUCCCCUAGUAACGGCGAGUGAAGCGGGAAGAGCUCAAAUUUGAAAUCUUAAAGGGUUUCCCUUUACGAAUUGUAGUUUAAAGAAGUGUUUUCUGUUGAGGUUUUGGUAAAAGUUCUUUGGAAUAGGACAUCAUAGAGGGUGAGAAUCCCGUAUUUGACCUUUACUUUCAACUUUGUGAUACACUUUCAAAGAGUCGGAUUGUUUAGGAAUGCAGUCCAAAAUGGGUGGUAAAUUUCAUCUAAAGCUAAAUAUUGGCGAGAGACCGAUAGCGAACAAGUACCGUGAGGGAAAGAUGAAAAGAACUUUGAAAAGAGAGUUAAACAGUACGUGAAAUUGUCAAAAGGGAAGCGUUUGACACCAGUGUUGUUUUUCUGAAAAUCAAUUAAAGAACUGUUUAUGCUAAGCUGUUUAGACUUUAUCAGCUAACUGUUUAGUUUUGAGCUUUUCUUUAAUGCACUUUUCAGUUAACAAGUCAACAUCAAUUUCUUUUGCUGUAAAAAAGCUUGAGGAAGGUGGCUUGAGAUUCGUCUUAAGUGUUUAUAGCCUCUCGCCUAUGCAGUCGGAGAGAUUGAGGUCUGCAGCGUAGAUCCUUCGGGGCUAAAUGCAUUUGUGCUAAGUUAUAGCAUUUUAUAGACAACUUGUUGACUAUGAUUUGUCUUGUAGCUUACUCGCUUAUGUUAUUUUACCUACGCUUAGGAUGUUGACGCAUGAGAUAUACGC
rnacentral:rRNA from 1 species